AGUGAACGCUGGCGGUAGGCCUAACACAUGCAAGUCGAACGGCAGCACAGUAAGAGCUUGCUCUUACGGGUGGCGAGUGGCGGACGGGUGAGGCAUACAUCGGCAUCUACUUUUUCGUGGGGGAUAACGUAGGGAAACUUACGCUAAUACCGCAUACGACCUACGGGUGAAAUCAGGGGAUCUUCGGACCUUGCGCGAUUGAAUGAGCCGAUGUCGGAUUAGCUAGUUGGCGGGGUAAAGGCCCACCAAGGCGACGAUCCGUAGCUGGUCUGAGGAGAGGGACAGCCACAAUGGAAAUUGGAAAAGGUCCAGACUCCUAAGGGAGGCAGGAGUGGGGAAUAUUGGAGAAUGGGGGGAAGGCUGAUCCAGGCAUAGCGCGUGGGUGAAGGAGGCCUUUGGGUUGGAAAGACCUUGUGUUGGGAAAGAAAAGCAGCAGGUUGUUACCGCGCUGAUCUGACGGGACCCAAAGCAUAAGGACACGCUAACUUCGUG
rnacentral:rRNA from 1 species